rnacentral:rRNA from 1 species
AGUGAACGCUGGCGGUAGGCCUAACACAUGCAAGUCGAACGGCAGCACAGUAAGAGCUUGCUCUUACGGGUGGCGAGUGGAGGACGGGUGAGGAAUACAUCGGAAUCUACUUUUUCGUGGGGGAUAACGUAGGGAAACUUACGCUAAUACCGCAUACGACCUACGGGUGAAAGCAGGGGAUCUUCGGACCUUGCGCGAGUGAAUGAUCCGAUGUCGGAUUAGCUAGUUGGCGGGGUAAAGGCCCACCAAGGCGACGAUCCGUAGCUGGUCUGAGAGGAUGAUCAGCCACACUGGAACUGAGACACGGUCCAGACUCCUGCGGGAGGCAGCAGUGGGGAAUAUUGGACGAUGGGCGCAAGCCUGAUCCAGCCCUACCGCGUGGGUGAAGAAGGCCUUCGGGUUGUAAAGCCCUUUUGUUGGGAAAGAAAAGCAGCAGGUUAAUACCCCGCUGUUCUGACGGUACCCAAAGAAUAAGCACCGGCUAACUUCGUG